rnacentral:rRNA from 1 species
AUUGAACGCUGGCGGCAGGCUUAACACAUGCAAGUCGAGCGGGGGAAGGUAGCUUGCUACCGGACCUAGCGGCGGACGGGUGAGUAAUGCUUAGGAAUCUGCCUAUUAGUGGGGGACAACAUCUCGAAAGGGAUGCUAAUACCGCAUACGUCCUACGGGGGAAAGCAGGGGAUCUUCGGACCUUGCGCUAAUAGAUGAGCCUAAGUCGGAUUAGCUAGUUGGUGGGGUAAAGGCCUACCAAGGCGACGAUCUGUAGCGGGUCUGAGAGGAUGAUCCGCCACACGGGGACUGAGACACGGCCCAGACUCCGACGGGAGGCAGCAGUGGGGAAGAUUGGACAAUGGGGGGAACCCUGAUCCAGCCAUGCCGCGUGUGUGAAGAAGGCCUUAUGGUUGUAAAGCACUUUAAGCGAGGAGGAGGCUACUCUAGUUAAUACCUAGGGAUAGUGGACGUUACUCGCAGAAUAAGCACCGGCUAACUCUGUGCCAGCCGCCGCCGUAA